AGAGCUGGCAAAUCAGACUACAGUGGAAACCAGGCUGUAAUCAGCAGAACAGCUGUGCAUCCUUCACAUCUCAUCUGGCUCCUUCUGUCCUUCCUCACAGCAAAGAAAUAGCCACGCAUGCUCCAAAAACUCUCCCACGGUUGCAGAUAAACAUCCUGGGAUACGCAAGGAUCCAGAUGUCUUGGGAGGGAAGAAGGCAGAAGGGGAGCGAGCAGGCUGGGGAGAGCAAGGAGAGCAGGAACUACCAGCCUCUUGCUUAUGGAAAGUUCUGGACACUUACAGCCCAAUUCUAUGCAUGUUCCAGUUUAUUCACCAGGCCUCACUUCCAGAUAAGGAUUGCAGCCUUAGCCUUAAGGUUGCCCUAUGCCACAGAAGGCAGCUUGAUACAUCAUCAAGUCUGAAGUGUGGAAUUCCUUCAUUUACUCCAACAAACAGUAGAGUGUGGCAGCUUUCAAUCCGAUUCCUACUGCAAUCUUUCCCAGAGGAACAGUGUGCUUUCUUGGGCUUCUUUAUAUAUGCGAGGUCUUGAGUGAAGAGGAUGAAAUGCUCCUAAGCUAUCCCUGAAACAUCAUGUAUUUUCCCUGCCACUUUGUCAUGAGGUAAAGUUGACAUCCCAAAGCUCUGACAUGGCUGGGAACGACAAAACUCUCUCUCUCUCAUUUUUAAAAGGUAUUUCCCCUCUUAUAAACAUCUGCUUCUCCUAUCCCAAAACAAAACCCAGAUCAGCCUCUCACAGA